CUAGUGAUUAGAGUUUGAUCCUGGCUCAGAUUGAACGCUGGCGGCAGGCUUAACACAUGCAAGUCGAGCGGUAGCACAGGGGAGCUUGCUCCCUGGGUGACGAGCGGCGGACGGGUGAGUAAUGUCUGGGAAACUGCCUGAUGGAGGGGGAUAACUACUGGAAACGGUAGCUAAUACCGCAUAACGUCGCAAGACCAAAGAGGGGGACCUUCGGGCCUCUUGCCAUCAGAUGUGCCCAGAUGGGAUUAGCUAGUAGGUGGGGUAAUGGCUCACCUAGGCGACGAUCCCUAGCUGGUCUGAGAGGAUGACCAGCCACACUGGAACUGAGACACGGUCCAGACUCCUACGGGAGGCAGCAGUGGGGAAUAUUGCACAAUGGGCGCAAGCCUGAUGCAGCCAUGCCGCGUGUGUGAAGAAGGCCUUCGGGUUGUAAAGCACUUUCAGCGAGGAGGAAGGUGGUGAACUUAAUACGUUCAUCAAUUGACGUUACUCGCAGAAGAAGCACCGGCUAACUCCGUGCCAGCAGCCGCGGUAAUACGAAGGGUGCAAGCGUUAAUCGGAAUUACUGGGCGUAAAGCGCACGCAGGCGGUUUGUUAAGUCAGAUGUGAAAUCCCCGGGCUCAACCUGGGAACUGCAUUUGAAACUGGCAAGCUAGAGUCUCGUAGAGGGGGGUAGAAUUCCAGGUGUAGCGGUGAAAUGCGUAGAGAUCUGGAGGAAUACCGGUGGCGAAGGCGGCCCCCUGGACGAAGACUGACGCUCAGGUGCGAAAGCGUGGGGAGCAAACAGGAUUAGAUACCCUGGUAGUCCACGCUGUAAACGAUGUCGAUUUGGAGGUUGUGCCCUUGAGGCGUGGCUUCCGGAGCUAACGCGUUAAAUCGACCGCCUGGGGAGUACGGCCGCAAGGUUAAAACUCAAAUGAAUUGACGGGGGCCCGCACAAGCGGUGGAGCAUGUGGUUUAAUUCGAUGCAACGCGAAGAACCUUACCUACUCUUGACAUCCAGAGAACUUUCCAGAGAUGGAUUGGUGCCUUCGGGAACUCUGAGACAGGUGCUGCAUGGCUGUCGUCAGCUCGUGUUGUGAAAUGUUGGGUUAAGUCCCGCAACGAGCGCAACCCUUAUCCUUUGUUGCCAGCGGUUCGGCCGGGAACUCAAAGGAGACUGCCAGUGAUAAACUGGAGGAAGGUGGGGAUGACGUCAAGUCAUCAUGGCCCUUACGAGUAGGGCUACACACGUGCUACAAUGGCAUAUACAAAGAGAAGCGACCUCGCGAGAGCAAGCGGACCUCAUAAAGUAUGUCGUAGUCCGGAUUGGAGUCUGCAACUCGACUCCAUGAAGUCGGAAUCGCUAGUAAUCGUAGAUCAGAAUGCUACGGUGAAUACGUUCCCGGGCCUUGUACACACCGCCCGUCACACCAUGGGAGUGGGUUGCAAAAGAAGUAGGUAGCUUAACCUUCGGGAGGGCGCUUACCACUUUGUGAUUCAUGACUGGGGUGAAGUCGUAACAAGGUAACCGUAGGGGAACCUGCGGCUGGAUCACCUCCUUAAU
rnacentral:rRNA from 1 species